rnacentral:lncRNA from 1 species
UGCACAGGAAGCAGCCGCAGAGGCUUCGGGCGAGCUGCAGCAGCCGCCGAGAGCAGCUCCAAGCCUGCAGAUGCAACAAGCGGGUUUGAAGGAGAUUUUGGAAAGAGGAAAAGGCAAAGGAAACCCUGCCUUUGUUUGCCGAGCCGGUUUCAGGCCGUGAGGUGUCUCAGUGUUGUUGCAGCAGUCAGUCCUGUGCUGCUCCUGCCUCCCCGAAGUCUGGAAGCGGUAUCUUCUAGAUGUGGCGGCUGUGCCAGCUCCAUCAGUGGCAAAUCAAUUCCCGUAGUCCGUUUGAUCCUGUGGUCAACCAAAAACACAACUGAACCAAAUAAACCACCCUGAAAAGUAUUUUCUCCGUGUAUUGCUUGAGUUCUAGAAAAGGUGCAGC